rnacentral:rRNA from 1 species
UUAAAAGUAACUUACGUUAGGGCGGACGGGUGGAGGUAACGCGUGGGUAACCUGCCUUACACUGGGGGAUAACACUUAGAAAUAGGUGCUAAUACCGCAUAAGCGCACGAAGCCGCAUGGAUUUGUGUGAAAAACUCCGGUGGUGUAAGAUGGACCCGCGUCUGAUUAGCUUGUUGGCGGGGUAACGGCCCACCAAGGCGACGAUCAGUAGCCGGCCUGAGAGGGUGGACGGCCACAUUGGGACUGAGACACGGCCCAAACUCCUACGGGAGGCAGCAG